ensembl:piRNA 21ur-12260 ncRNA
UGAUUUUGAAACCCAUCUAGA